UUCGGACAUACCGAGUGGAAAGCAGUUU
rnacentral:piRNA from 1 species